GGGCAUCCACCGCGAUUGCCGCUCAUGGCCGUCGAAUCGCGGCUCAGAGGGAAUCUUGGCCGUCCACUCGUUUUCGCUGUCUGGUAUAAAACGCCUCCCCCACGGUGAAAACCCUAGCCCACCGCUGCCCAAUCCCCCGCACGCUUCGCUCCCCCAAUCCCCUCUCGCUUCUCCUCCUCCAACCCGCUCCGUCCUCGCCGCCGCCACCACUGCCGACCACGUCCUCUCCUCCAACCCCUACCCCAACGCCUAGGCAGCCCACCGCUCGCGGUCGAGAAGAAGGAGUCCUCACGGUCGUCGAGCUGCCGCCCCACUCCCAUCCGCCCUCCCGCCGCUCGCGGUCGAGAAGAGGGAGCCCUCGCGGUCGUGGAGCUGCCGCCCCGUUCCCAUCCGCCCUCCCGCACUCUUGUGUUGUCCUCGGGGCAGGACGUCCGCGCCUCCGGUGGAUGGGAGCGGUGGUGCACCAUGGCGUGCAAACGGCACCCUCUCGGAGCUGGGCAUGGAGCCCCGGAUCAAGACAUGGAGACCCGAAACCGAGCUCGCCUUCACGAAGACCUCCUCCAGGGCGAGAUUGAGACACACAGCCGUGCUGAUCUCCUCUUUCCAAGCCCAUCUUCAUGGCAGCAAUUAGCAUCAUGGGCAGCGUGGAGUUCCAGGACGAGUGAGCUACACGAGUGCGUCCAUCAGAUUGGAACGGGUUAGUCUGAGAGCUGUUGCUGCUUCGAGCAGGGGCGGCAGGGGGAGAGGGCGAUUUGCAGCACCAGCUAUUCAGGCCUGUCGGCGGGAUGGCAUCUCAGGUAGCUGCAGCGGCAGCAACAUCAUCAAACGGUGGGCUGCUGUGAGAUUGGCUCAUUUAGUGCAAGUCUGGAAAGCAGGCGGUCUUCUUUCCAAGCAGGUAUUAUAUCCAAGUCUGGCAGCUCUUUUCAUGUGCCGAUUUGCUUUGAGCCACUUAGUUUGCUGAAUUUAGCCAUUUUUGUUCUGCCACCUUACAACAUUAGUUCUAAUAAAUUUUUAUAUAGGGUCAGAGGAGUGCUUAUUUAGGGUCAAAGGAGAGAUAUUAUGAUUCAUGAAUCUUGGUAUUUCCAGCAAAAUUUACAUACUUAUUAGUUAUUUUAGUUAAGGGCUACGGUAAAGUAGGAUGAGUCAUUUUCAUCUCCCUUUCAUGGAUUAUUAUCAACUACUAUUAGCAGACGGAAAUGCAACAUCAUUAAGCAUACAUGACAUGUUAGGCAAAUAAGAUAAACUGUGUAGUUUUUUUGACUGAACUAUGAAUAUGUGUGAUGACUUAAUAUUUUCUCUAUAGUAGUUAUGGGUAUCUCAAUGAGAAAAGACUCUUUAUGGUAUCUCAUUGAGAGAAUACUCUUUAUUUGAGUCUCGGUUAACCUAUUGUGCGAUUGGUUUACUUUCUCAUCAAAUGCGAACCACGUAUAGUUAGUACUUAUGCAGCAACUCUUUAGACGAGUUAUCAAUAAUAUUUUCUAUUUAAAAAAUCUAAUUGGGUUGCACAUUUCCUGUACCAAGAUUUAAGCUUCAUUGUUGAUCACUCUUUUGAUUGCUUCACUUUUUUUUCUUCUACGGGUCCUACAUCCCUUUGUACUUUUGGUGCCAUAUGUUUGGAGCUGAAUGUUACCAUUUCAUGGUACCUCGCUAACUUUGUUCAAGUUAUGCUACUGACAAUAUGCAUUAUCCUUUAGCUGUUCUCUUUUGCCUAAAAUAUAUGCUAAGUUGUAAAUUUACUCCACUCACUCUAUCUAUGAUAUGCGUCUAUUGUUUUAGUUCCCUGAUGAUCCCACAUGAUGUAUCAAAUAGAAGACACGAAGGGUAAUAAGUUGUCUACACAUACCUUGCAAAUAGUAAUGUGCUGUUGUACAAUUAACUGAAUGCCGCAUUUUGGUUCCUGCAUGUUGCCUAGAAUUUUCCUUUGUUUUGUUUGUAAAACCUGGUUAUCCUUUCACAAUUUAUCACUCUCUUGAAAAAUGAUCGCAGCUAAAUCACCCUAAUGAUUACUUUAUUUCUAAGCAGCUUACAAAAGUCCCAACUCUCCGGCUGAAGGAACUGAACAACAAUCAAAUUUUCGUAGCCACAACAAGAGUAAGUGUCCUUUUUUUGGAAAUUACUUUUCUUAUUGUACCUACCAAACUUGCAUACACUAAGUGGAACAUUCUUUUUUAUGUGAUGUCUGAUUUAUUCUCUAAGCGUGCUUCUCUUUCAAUCAAUGGAAGAGGGGCUUCUUAUGCUUGAGUAAAUGAACCCGAAAUAUCCCUAUAUGAAGAUAUAUUUUUAAGUUGAUGUGCAUUUUGUCAACCCUCAUACCGUGUUAUUCAAUAUUUUUUUUAUCUCAAGGUUGUCUUUUCUCUGAACUGUAAAUGGCAUCAGGGUUUUUAAGUUGAUGCUUCCUCUUCAUGUCCAUGUUGUCUUUCAGACACAGCGCAUGGCACUUCGUGGCGAUGUGAUCGUAGUUUCGCUGCUACUGCUUGCCUCUCUUCAGGAUAUCGUGAGGAGUGGUCUCUGCCCCUUUGUGAGGCUGCAGCCACGUGACGUGUAGUUCUCAGUUUCGAUAUAUAUUGGUAGAAUGCUUACUGUUGGCGUGUAGUUCUCAGUUUUUUGGACUUCACAGAUUGUUUACUGGUUCUCUGUGGUACAUCUGUUUAUCCCCAUUGAUAAAUUCCAUUCUUGAAAAGUUGAGACAUUUUCAUGUUUGAAUAUGCAAUGUAAUUGGCUCUUGGUUUGUUUCGA